rnacentral:rRNA from 1 species
UUUAAUGAGAGUUUGAUCCUGGCUCAGGACGAACGCUGGCGGCGUGCCUAAUACAUGCAAGUAGAACGCUGAGGUUUGGUGUUUACACUAGACUGAUGAGUUGCGAACGGGUGAGUAACGCGUAGGUAACCUGCCUCAUAGCGGGGGAUAACUAUUGGAAACGAUAGCUAAUACCGCAUAAGAGUAAUUAACACAUGUUAGUUAUUUAAAAGGAGCAAUUGCUUCACUGUGAGAUGGACCUGCGUUGUAUUAGCUAGUUGGUGAGGUAAAGGCUCACCAAGGCGACGAUACAUAGCCGACCUGAGAGGGUGAUCGGCCACACUGGGACUGAGACACGGCCCAGACUCCUACGGGAGGCAGCAGUAGGGAAUCUUCGGCAAUGGACGGAAGUCUGACCGAGCAACGCCGCGUGAGUGAAGAAGGUUUUCGGAUCGUAAAGCUCUGUUGUUAGAGAAGAACGUUGGUAGGAGUGGAAAAUCUACCAAGUGACGGUAACUAACCAGAAAGGGACGGCUAACUACGUGCCAGCAGCCGCGGUAAUACGUAGGUCCCGAGCGUUGUCCGGAUUUAUUGGGCGUAAAGCGAGCGCAGGCGGUUCUUUAAGUCUGAAGUUAAAGGCAGUGGCUUAACCAUUGUACGCUUUGGAAACUGGAGGACUUGAGUGCAGAAGGGGAGAGUGGAAUUCCAUGUGUAGCGGUGAAAUGCGUAGAUAUAUGGAGGAACACCGGUGGCGAAAGCGGCUCUCUGGUCUGUAACUGACGCUGAGGCUCGAAAGCGUGGGGAGCAAACAGGAUUAGAUACCCGUGGUAGUCCACGCCGUAAACGAUGAGUGCUAGGUGUUAGGCCCUUUCCGGGGCUUAGUGCCGCAGCUAACGCAUUAAGCACUCCGCCUGGGGAGUACGACCGCAAGGUUGAAACUCAAAGGAAUUGACGGGGGGCCCGCACAAGCGGUGGAGCAUGUGGUUUAAUUCGAAGCAACGCGAAGAACCUUACCAGGUCUUGACAUCCUUCUGACCGGCCUAGAGAUAGGCUUUCUCUUCGGAGCAGAAGUGACAGGUGGUGCAUGGUUGUCGUCAGCUCGUGUCGUGAGAUGUUGGGUUAAGUCCCGCAACGAGCGCAACCCCUAUUGUUAGUUGCCAUCAUUAAGUUGGGCACUCUAGCGAGACUGCCGGUAAUAAACCGGAGGAAGGUGGGGAUGACGUCAAAUCAUCAUGCCCCUUAUGACCUGGGCUACACACGUGCUACAAUGGUUGGUACAACGAGUCGCAAGCCGGUGACGGCAAGCUAAUCUCUUAAAGCCAAUCUCAGUUCGGAUUGUAGGCUGCAACUCGCCUACAUGAAGUCGGAAUCGCUAGUAAUCGCGGAUCAGCACGCCGCGGUGAAUACGUUCCCGGGCCUUGUACACACCGCCCGUCACACCACGAGAGUUUGUAACACCCGAAGUCGGUGAGGUAACCUUUUAGGAGCCAGCCGCCUAAGGUGGGAUAGAUGAUUGGGGUGAAGUCGUAACAAGGUAGCCGUAUCGGAAGGUGCGGCUGGAUCACCUCCUUU